rnacentral:rRNA from 1 species
UAGGGAAUAUUAGUAAUGGGCGAAAGCCUGAACUAGCAACGCCGCGUGUGCGAAGAAGGCCUUCGGGUUGUAAAGCACUUUUUGAGAGGAUGAGGAAGGACGGUACUCUCAGAAUAAGUCUCGGCUAACUACGUGCCAGCAGCCGCGGUAACACGUAGGAGGCAAACGUUAUCCGGAUUUACUGGGCGUAAAGCGCGUGUAGGUGGUUUGGUAAGUAGGGCGUGGAAGCUCCUGGCUCAACUGGGAGAGGCCGUUCUAAACUGCCGAACUAGAGAAUGGUAGAGGGAGGUGGAAUUCCGGGGGUGGGGGGGGAAUGGGAGGAAAUCCGAAGGAAAACAAGUGCGGAAGGCGGCUUCUUGGACAAUUCCUGACAUUCAGACGGGAAAGUAAGGUAGCAAACG